rnacentral:rRNA from 1 species
AUACGGAGGGUGCAAGCGUUAAUCGGAAUUACUGGGCGUAAAGCGUACGUAGGCGGUUAUUUAAGUCAGAUGUGAAAGCCCCGGGCUUAACUUGGGAACUGCAUUUGAAACUGGGUAACUAGAGUUUAGUAGAGGGGAGUGGAAUUUCAGGUGUAGCGGUGAAAUGCGUAGAGAUCUGAAGGAACACCAGUGGCGAAGGCGACUCCCUGGACUAAAACUGACGCUGAGGUACGAAAGCGUGGGUAGCAAACAGGAUUAGAAACCCUAGUAGUCCC